UACGUAGGCAGCGAGCGUUGUUCGGAGUUACUGGGCGUAAAGGGUGUGUAGGCGGUUGUUUAAGUUUGGUGUGAAAUCUCCCGGCUCAACUGGGAGGGUGCGCCGAAUACUGAAUGACUUGGAGUGCGGGAGAGGAGAGUGGAAUUCCUGGUGUAGCGGUGAAAUGCGUAGAUAUCAGGAGGAACACCGGUGGUGUAGACGGCUCCCUGGACCGUAACUGACGCUGAGACACGAAAGCGUGGGUAGCAAACAGG
rnacentral:rRNA from 1 species